UGACGUCACCUGCACCGACAGGACACCGCGGAGGACCUGGACCGGAACCGGGUUCAGUUAGCACGGUUCGAAUUAGCACAGUUAGCACGAUUAUCCUCUGAAUCAAGACCACGAACCGGACCCGGGUCUGUGACACGGGUCUGGUUGAGUUCACACCUUCACACCUUCUCCAGGUGAGUCCGCGCUGUUCACACCGGAUUCACACCGUCAACACAACAACAACAACACUUCAGCUUAGGAUCCACUUCCGCUGGACCGCGCGCUAAGGACUCUUCACAAUAAGAGCUAAUACUGUAAACACAUUGAAUUGACAUGUGAGAGACGGACAAGUAGAGAGAGAGAAAGAGAGGGACAGACAGAUAAGUAGAGAGAGAGAAAGAGAGGGACAGACAGACAGGUAGAAAGAGAGACAGAUGUUAGUAGAAUUAGAAGGUGGAUGAUAAAUAAUAUUAGAUACAAUUACAAAAUAAACUGUGUAAAGUCAAAAUUCCCGACAGAUCUGUGCGUCUGCGUGCGUGUGUGUGUGUGUGUGUGUGUGUGUGUGUGUGUGUGUGUGUGUGUGUGUGUGUGUGUGUGUGUGUGUGUGUGUGUGUGUGUGUGUGUGUGUGUGUGUACCUGGCUCUGCAGGUCGAUGUUCCUCACACCUCAGCCAGUGAGUCCAGAGCUUUACUGGGAUCCACAGUGAAGACUCUCCACUGGUUGGUGACCACUGCUGUAACGUGUUACGGUGAAAACACGUUCAAAUCAAAUCAAAUCAAAGUUUAUUGUCACAUGCACCAAUGACAGCGUCAUCGGAGCAGUGAAAUUCUUAUGACAUGGCAGCAAACAUCUACGCAGUAGGCGACUUUACAAAAUGACAAAAAAAUAACAUACUAUGUAACAUAACAUAUAACAUAACAUUGUAACAUAUAACAUAUAACACAGUCAAGUGAAUAUUAAAUUAAGUAAUAUGAAUAUAUGUAUAACAUAUAACAUAGUCAAAUUAAAGUCAAAGUUAAAUGAAGCAGCAGUUUACAGGGUGAAGGAGUGGGGAAUAUUAAAUUAAAUCAAAUAAUAUGAAUAUAGGUAUUACAUAGGCAGAUAAAAGUCAAAUGAAGUAGCAGUUUACACGGUGAAGGACUGGGUAAUAUUAAAUUAAAUUAAAUUAAAUAAUAUGAAUAUAGGUAUUACAUAGGCAGAUAAAAGUCCAAAUGAAGCAGCAGUUUACAGGGUGAAGAAGUGGGGAAUAUUAAAUAAAAUAAUAUGAAUAUAUGUAUAACAUAUAACAUAGUCAAAUAAAUUCAAAUGAAGCAGCAGUUUCCAGGGUGAAGAAGUGGGGAAUAUUAAAUAAAAUAAUAUGAAUAUAUGUAUAACAUAUAACAUAGUCAAAUAAAUUCAAAUGAAGCAGCAGUUUUCAGGGUGAAGAAGUGGGUAAUAUUAAAUAAGAUAAGUAUAUGUGAAGUAAGUGUAUUUGUAUGAUUCGGGAGCAGAAUGUACAUGGUGACUAUUCAGAGGAUAGAAAAAAAAAAUGCUAUCUAACGUAACAUAUAACAUCACAUCGUAACAUAUAAUGUAGUCAAGUAAAGCAGUAGUUUACAGGGUGAAUGGAAUAUUAAAUUAAAUAAUAUGAACAUGAAUAUAUGUAUAAAUAUAACAUAGUCAAGUCAAAGUCAAAUGAAGUAGCAGUUUACACAUUCUCGACGAUGUUUAUUAAUGAACUCUAUUUUCUAUGGUUUUCUUCCUUCAUGUGUUAGAUAUUAGUAUUUUGUGUUUAUACUUAAAAAAACGUGUGUUUUUCUUUGAAGCAAAUAAAAACAGUUUUUUUAACGUCACGAUUCUCCAAUAAGCUUUGAGAUCAACUUGUUUUAUACUGUAUGUGAAUAAAACACUAAAUGAAAACUUACAUGUCAAAUAAAUCCAAUGAAAAUAUGAUCAAGGCUUUGGUCAAGUUUUCUGUGAAAUAGAAUUUACACUCACAUCAGUUUUAUUUCUUGUUUUCAUAGAAAGUAGUUUCUAUGGUGGAAUUCCAGUGAAUCCAGUUUAGACUUGAUGGAAAACCAUGUUGUCUGCAGCCAGGUACUCUGGCUCUUUGCUGACACCUUGUGGUCAAACACUGGUACUGUUGGGAUGCAAGUCUCAGCAGUUGUUGAAAUACACAACGGUCAAAUGAUGCAUCACAAUGCAGCUGUAUUUCUGUAGAUCUAUAAACCACACUGUGACUGGACUGUAUGAAUGUGACCUGACGUGGCAGAGUUCUGCAGAUGGAGUCACACAUUCAGCUCCAACACCAAAUAUAACAACCUUCAACUCACAGGAGGAAACAUGGGUUUGAGCUCAGGCUUCAUUUGAUGGAGUUGGGCCGUUUGGGAGUUUUCCACAUUUUAACAAACUAUUGACGAAUCAGACCGAUCUCAAGGAAACACGUCUUCAUCGAGUUCACAUGAUGUUGUUACAGUUAAUAACAAUAUAUAUGUUAUUAUUAUUGUUAUUAUAAAUGUCUUAAAAAAACUAUUUCAUGAGUUAGGUUACAAACAACAGUUUUAAUUUUAGAACACACGCACACACAAACAAACAAACAAACACAGACACAUACACACAAACACACAGAGUCACGUGAUUUCCAGUAACUGUAGAGGGGGAGGAGCCUCCAGUGAAAGUGAAAGUGUUCAGACUGGUUCUCACUUCAAGGAGCAGACGGAGGAGACGUGAAGUCUGAGGCUGAUAAACAUUGAAACUGGUGUGAAAGAUCAUUUCACUGUGUUCUGCUGUAAACUGAGCACAGAACCAGAGGAAAUAGACCAGACCUUGAAUAUCUAGAAGAGCAGCGUGGCCUGAACCACAACUGAGCCGCAGCCGGUGCAACAUGGACGAGGACACUUCAGAGCAAGUUGGACCCUCAACCACAAAAGGUCAGGACCACAGACUGAGGGCAGAGUCUCCAGGGUCCAGCUGUCUGUCUCUGAAGAGUGACUGGUCCAUGGGAGAAGGUCCAAACUUCAGUAAAGAACCUGGACCCUCACACACAGAGGAGAGGAAGAGGAGUCAUGUUUCUGAGGAGGAGCAGUCGUCCUGCUGUGCUUCGUGUCAGGACGUCCUGAAGGAUCCAGUCUCCACCAGCUGUGGACACUGGUUCUGCAGACAGUGCAUCACCUCAUACUGGGACCAGUCUGGUUCUUCAGGAGACUCCUCCUGUCCCCAGUGUGGAAAAAGAUCCAGAAGAGGAGCUGGAGCAGAUCGUGGUCUGCAGGAGGUUUCAGAUGAACAUAAGCUCAGUCUGAGGAGGAGAUGUGAACAUGUGACUGAAGGAAGUGAUGAAACAGGAAGUAGAACCCACCUCAACAGGAUCUACACUGAGCUCCACAUCACAGAGGGACAGAGUGAAGAGGUUAAUACUCAACAUGAGGUGAGGCAGCUUGAGACGGCUUCCAAGAUGAAGAUCCUCCAGGACACUCCCAUCAAGGUCCACGACAUCUUUAAAGCCUCCACUGACCAGCAGAGCAGCAUCAGAGUCGUCCUGACCAACGGCGUCGCUGGAGUUGGAAAAACCUUCUCGGUGCAGAAGUUCACUCUGGACUGGGCAGAGGGUUUAGAGAACCAGGAUGUGGGUCUGCUGGCUGUGCUUUCGUUCAGGGAGCUGAACCUGGUGAAGGACCAGCAGCACAGUCUUCUCACGCUGCUCCAUGUUUUCCAUCCAGCGUUACAGAAGCUCACUGCAGAGACGCUCGCUCUCUGUAAACCUUUGUUCAUCUUUGACGGCCUGGAUGAAAGCAGACCUUCUCUGGACUUCAACCACAGGGAGCUUGUGUCUGAGGUCACACAGAGGUCAUCAGUCAACGUGCUGCUGACAAACCUCAUCCGGGGGAAUCUGCUUCCCUCGGCUCUCGUCUGGAUAACCUCCAGACCUGCGGCGGCCAAUCAGAUCCCUCCUGCAUGUGUUGACAGGGUCACAGAAGUACGAGGCUUCACUGAGGCCCAGAAGGAGGAGUACUUCAGGAGGAGGUUCAGUGAUGAAGAGCUGUGCAGCAGAAUCAUCUCACACAUCAAGACGUCCAGGAGCCUCCACAUCAUGUGUCAAAUCCCAGUCUUCUGCUGGAUCAGUGCUACAGUUCUGGAGCACAUGUUGACCACAGACCAGAGAGGAGAGCUGCCCAAGACCCUGACUGACCUGUACUCACACUUCCUGCUGGUUCAGACAAAGAGGAAGAACAACAAGUACGGUGAGGGACAUGAGACGACUCCACAGCAGCUGACGGAGGCUGACAGGGACGUUCUCCUGAAGCUGGGGAGGCUGGCACUUAAACAUCUGGAGGAAGGAAACAUCAUGUUCUACCAAGAAGACCUGGAGCGGUGUGGUCUUAAUGUCACAGAGGCCUCGGUGUACUCAGGAGUUUGUACUGAGAUCUUCAGAAGAGAGUGUGUGAUCUUCCAGAAAUCAGUCUACUGCUUUGUUCAUCUGAGCGUUCAGGAGUUUCUGGCUGCAGUCUACAUGUUCCACUGUUACACCGAGAGGAACAGAAGAGAACUCAAGAACUUCUUGGGAACAUAUAAGAACAUAGACAGUACCUUCUCUCUGGAUGACCUCCUGAAGAGAACCAUGAAGAAAUCCCUCACCAGUACAAAUGGUCAUCUGGACCUGUUUGUUCGCUUCCUUCACGGCCUCAGUCUGGAGUCCAACCAGAGAGUCUUAGGAGGCCUGCUGGGUCGGACAGGGAACAAACCAGAGAUCUUCCAGAGAGUCAUCAACAACCUGAAGGAGAUGAAGAGUGAUCACAUUUCUCCUGACAGAAGCAUCAACAUCUUCCUCUGUCUGACUGAGAUGAACGACCACUCAGUUCAUCAGCAGAUGAAACAGUUCCUGACGUCAGAGAACAGAUCAGAGGAGAAACUCUCUGAGAUCCACUGCUCAGCUCUGGCCUACAUGCUGCAGAUGUCAGAGGAGGUUCUGGAUGAGUUGGACUUGAUGAAGUUCAACACAACAAACCAGGGUCGACUGAGACUGAUCCCAGCUGUGAGGAACUGCAGGAAGGCUCGACUCAGUGGUUGUGGACUCUCAGAGAUUCACUGUGAAGUCGUGGCCUCAGCUCUGAAGUCAGACCCCUCACAUCUGAGAGAACUGGAUCUGAGUGGAAACUACCUGCAGAGUUCAGGAGUGAAGCUGCUGUGUUCUGGACUGGAGAGUCCAAACUGUCGACUGGAGACUCUGAGGUUGUGGAACUGCAGUCUGUCAGAGAUCAGCUGUUCUUCUCUGGCUUCAGCUCUGAGGUCAAACCCCUCUCAUCUGAGAGAUCUGGAUCUGAGUGGAAACAACCUGCAGGACUCAGGAGUGAAGGAGCUGUGUGGUUUUCUACAGAGUCCAACCUGUCGACUGGAGACUCUGAGGUUGUGGAGCUGCAGACUGUCAGAGAUCAGCUGUUCUUCUCUGGCUUCAGCUCUGAGGUCAAACCCCUCUCAUCUGAGAGAACUGGAUCUGACACUAAACAACCUGCAGGACUCAGCAGUGAAGGAGCUGUGUGGUUUUCUACAGAGUCCAACCUGUCGACUGGAGACUCUGAGGUUGAGACUCUGCAGUCUGUCAGAGAUCAGCUGUUCUUCUCUGGCUUCAGCUCUGAGGUCAAACCCCUCUCAUCUGAGAGAACUGGAUCUGAGAGACAACAACAACCUGAAGGACUCAGGAGUGAAGGAGCUGUGUGGUUUUCUACAGAGUCCAACCUGUCGACUGGAGACUCUGAGGUUGAUGAACUGCAGUCUGACAGAGAUCAGCUGUUCUUCUCUGGCUUCAGCUCUGAGGUCAAACCCCUCUCAUCUGAGAGAACUGGAUCUGAGUCUAAACAACCUGCAGGACUCAGGAGUGAAGGAGCUGUGUGGUUUUCUACAGAGUCCAACCUGUCGACUGGAGACUCUGAGACUCAGUGGUUGUGAACUCUCAGAGACUCACUGUGAAGUCGUGGCCUCAGCUCUGAAGUCAGACCCCUCACAUCUGAGAGAACUGGAUCUGAGUAACAACAACCUGAAGGACUCAGUGAAGCUGCUGUGUUCUGGACUGGAGAGUCCAAACUGUCGACUGGAGACUCUGAGGUUGGUGUACUGCAGUCUGUCAGAGAUCAGCUGUUCUUCUCUGGCUUCAGCUCUGAGGUCAAACCCCUCUCAUCUGAGAGAACUGGAUCUGAGACUCAACGACCUGCAGGACUCAGGAGUGAAGGAGCUGUGUGGUUUUCUACAGAGUCCAACCUGUCGACUGGAGACUCUGAGGUUGGAGGACUGCAGUCUGUCAGAGAUCAGCUGUUCUUCUCUGGCUUCAGCUCUGAGGUCAAACCCCUCUCAUCUGAGAGAACUGGAUCUGAGUAACAGAGACCUGCAGGCCUCAGGAGUGAAGGAGCUGUGUGGUUUUCUACAGAGUCCAACCUGUCGACUGGAGACUCUGAGGUUGACUCACUGCUUUCUGUCAGAGAUCAGCUGUUCUUCUCUGGCUUCAGCUCUGAGGUCAAACCCCUCUCAUCUGAGAGAGCUGGAUCUGAGGUUCAACAACCUGCAGGUCUCAGGAGUGAAGGAGCUUCUUGAUCUACAGCAGAGUCCAACCUGUCGACUGGAGACUCUGAGGUGGAGCUGAGUGUGAAGAGGACAGUGUGAAGAGGACAGUGUGAAGAGGACAGUGUGAAGAGGACAGUGUGAAGAGGACAGUGUGAAGAGGACAGUGUGAAGAGGACAGUGUGAAGAGGACAGUGUGUGUGGACGGAGGCUGAGCUGUGUCCUGAGGAUCCAGAGGCUGAAGCAGCAGCAGCUUGUGUGUAGUCUCCAAUCUACACAACCCCUAAUCUGCAUGUGUUUGUGAGAUGAAGCCGGAGCACCUGGAGAAAACACGGGGAGAACAUGCAGACUCCACACAGGAAGACCCCAUCUGAACCGGAUUCAAACCAGCAACCUUCCUGCCCCGAUUGUGUUUAUUCACAUGAAGAAUGUGUUUAUUGAAAUGACACAACACAAGCAGAAUAUAUAAACCCUCUAUAAAGAGUCACAUACAGUGUGUUUAAGUUUGUCUUUAUUAUUGUCCACCUUUGUCCCUCAGUGUGUCUCCAUGUGUGUAGAACCACAUUCUGUGUAUAUGUUUGUUUAUGAUCUUAAAGUUCCUGGAUUCACGUCACAAAUUGAUUUAGUUCAACACAAAGUUCAACACAUUGAAAUCACUUUGAGUUUAAAAUCAGAGUUUUGUCUUUGACACAAAAGAUCAAAACUCUGGACUUAAAAAUGGGACGUUUUCAUUUCUGCAUCAGGUGCAGAGCGGUGGUGGCUUUUCUACUUUUGACCCACAGGUGGCGCUGCAGUAUAACAGCAGCACAUCCCAGUCAAAGCCUUUAUAUUCAGUCUAUGAGUCAAACACAUGGAUCAUUUCCUCUGUGACAAACCAGAUGUAACGAGAAGAAAAACAUCUCAGAGAGAAAAGUUCUGUUUCUACUUGUCUCUGCUUUAAUGCUCAAUAAACAUCCUUCCACCGA